AAUCCAUAGGUUAAUGAGGCGAACCGGGGGAACUGAAACAUCUAAGUACCCCGAGGAAAAGAAAUCAACCGAGAUUCCCCCAGUAGCGGCGAGCGAACGGGGAGGAGCCCAGAGCCUGAAUCAGCAUGUGUGUUAGUGGAAGCGUCUGGAAAGGCGCGCGAUACAGGGUGACAGCCCCGUACACAAAAGCGCAUGUGCUGUGAGCUCGAUGAGUAGGGCGGGACACGUGGUAUCCUGUCUGAAUAUGGGGGGACCAUCCUCCAAGGCUAAAUACUCCUGACUGACCGAUAGUGAACCAGUACCGUGAGGGAAAGGCGAAAAGAACCCCGGCGAGGGGAGUGAAAAAGAACCUGAAACCGUGUACGUACAAGCAGUGGGAGCACCCUUUGGGUGUGACUGCGUACCUUUUGUAUAAUGGGUCAGCGACUUAUAUUCUGUAGCAAGGUUAACCGAAUAGGGGAGCCGGAGGGAAACCGAGUCUUAACCGGGCGUUAAGUUGCAGGGUAUAGACCCGAAACCCGGUGAUCUAGCCAUGGGCAGGUUGAAGGUUGGGUAACACUAACUGGAGGACCGAACCGACUAAUGUUGAAAAAUUAGCGGAUGACCUGUGGCUGGGGGUGAAAGGCCAAUCAAACCGGGAGAUAGCUGGUUCUCCCCGAAAGCUAUUUAGGUAGCGCCUCGUGAAUUCAUCUCCGGGGGUAGAGCACUGUUUCGGCUAGGGGGCCAUCCCGGCUUACCAACCCGAUGCAAACUGCGAAUACCGGAGAAUGUUAUCACGGGAGACACACGGCGGGUGCUAACGUCCGUCGUGAAGAGGGAAACAACCCAGACCGCCAGCUAAGGUCCCAAAGUCAUGGUUAAGUGGGAAACGAUGUGGGAAGGCCCAGACAGCCAGGAUGUUGGCUUAGAAGCAGCCAUCAUUUAAAGAAAGCGUAAUAGCUCACUGGUCGAGUCGGCCUGCGCGGAAGAUGUAACGGGGCUAAACCAUGCAC
rnacentral:rRNA from 2 species